rnacentral:rRNA from 1 species
UACGUAGGGUGCAAGCGUUGUCCGGAAUUAUUGGGCGUAAAGAGCUCGUAGGCGGUUUGUCGCGUCGAAUGUGAAAACCCGGGGCUCAACCCCGGGCCUGCAUUCGAUACGGGCAGACUAGAGUUCGGUAGGGGAGUCUGGAAUUCCUGGUGUAGCGGUGAAAUGCGUAGAUAUCAAGCGGAACACCGGUGGCGAAGGCGGCCUUCUGGACAGUGACUGACGCUGAGACGCGAAAGCGUGGGGAGCAAACAGG